rnacentral:rRNA from 1 species
GACGAACGCUGGCGGCGUGCCUAAUACAUGCAAGUCGAGCGCAGGAAACUGACGGAACUCUUCGGAGGGAAGGCAGUGGAAUGAGCGGCGGACGGGUGAGUAACACGUAAGAAACCUGCCUCAAGGAUUGGGAUAACUCCGAGAAAUCGGAGCUAAUACCGGAUAGUUCAUCGGACCGCAUGGUCCGUUGAUGAAAGGCGCUUCGGCGUCACCUUGAGAUAGCCUUGCGGUGCAUUAGCUAGUUGGUGGGGUAACGGCCCACCAAGGCGACGAUGCAUAGCCGACCUGAGAGGGGGAUCGGCCAAACUGGGACUGAGACACGGCCCAGACUCCUACGGGAGGCAGCAGUAGGGAAUCUUCCACAAUGGACGAAAGUCUGAUGGAGCAACGCCGCGUGAGUGAUGAAGGUUUUCGGAUCGUAAAACUCUGUUGUAAGGGAAGAACACGUACGAGAGGGAAUGCUCGUACCUUGACGGUACCUUACGAGAAAGCCACGGCUAACUACGUGCCAGCCGCCGCAGUAACAC